rnacentral:rRNA from 1 species
AUGCACGCUGGCGGCGUGCCUAAUACCUGCAAGUCGAGCGAACAGACGAGGAGCUUGCUCCUCUGACGUUAGCGGCGGACGGGUGAGUAACACGUGGAUAACCUACCUAUAAGACUGGGAUAACUUCGGGAAACCGGAGCUAAUACCGGAUAAUAUAUUGAACCGCAUGGUUCAAUAGUGAAAGACGGUUUUGCUGUCACUUAUAGAUGGAUCCGCGCCGCAUUAGCUAGUUGGUAAGGUAACGGCUUACCAAGGCGACGAUGCGUAGCCGACCUGAGAGGGUGAUCGGCCACACUGGAACUGAGACACGGUCCAGACUCCUACGGGAGGCAGCAGUAGGGAAUCUUCCGCAAUGGGCGAAAGCCUGACGGAGCAACGCCGCGUGAGUGAUGAAGGUCUUCGGAUCGUAAAACUCUGUUAUUAGGGAAGAACAAAUGUGUAAGUAACUAUGCACGCCUUGACGGUACCUAAUCAGAAAGCCACGGCUAACUACGUG